rnacentral:rRNA from 1 species
GCGAGCGAACCGGGAAGAGCUCAAAUUUAAAAUCUGGCGUCCUUCGGGCGUCCGAGUUGUAAUCUACAGAAGUGUUUUCCGUGCUGGACCGUGUCCAAGUCCCUUGGAACAGGGUAUCAAAGAGGGUGACAAUCCCGUACUUGACACGACGACCAGUGCUCUGUGAUACAUUUUCUACGAGUCGAGUUGUUUGGGAAUGCAGCUCAAAAUGGGUGGUAAAUUCCAUCUAAAGCUAAAUAUAGGCGAGAGACCGAUAGCGAACAAGUACCGUGAGGGAAAGAUGAAAAGCACUUUGGAAAGAGAGUUAAACAGUACGUGAAAUUGUUGAAAGGGAAACGAUUGAAGUCAGUCGUGUCUGUUGGUUUCAGCUGUCUCUGGCAGUGUAUUACCAGCAGACGGGUCAACAUCAGUUUUGGACGGUGGAAAAAGGUAGGGAGAACGUAGCACCUCCGGGUGUGUUAUAGCUCCCUAUUGCAUACACUGCCCGAGACUGAGGAAUGCAGCUCGCCUUUAUGGCCGGGGUUCGCCC